GCGUGAGUGAAGAAGGCCUUAGGGUUGUAAAGCUCUUUCAGCAGGGAAGAUGAUGACGGUACCUGCUAAAGAAGCUCCGGCUAACUCCGUGCCAGCAGCCGCGGUAAUACGGAGGGAGCUAGCGUUGUUCGGAAUUACUGGGCGUAAAGGGCGCGUAGGCGGUUUGGAGAGUUAGGCGUGAAAGCCCCGGGCUCAACCCGGGAACUGCGUUUAAUACUUCCAGACUUGAGUCCGAGAGAGGGUGGUGGAAUUCCCAGUGUAGAGGUGAAAUUCGU
rnacentral:rRNA from 1 species